UUAUCACCCGCUAGAAGAAUCGUUGCAAGAAUCAAUGGAGGAGGAAUUGCUAAAGGUGUUGAAAGGAGCAAAACCGAAGUUGGAGAAGAAAUAUACCGUUCGGAUUUUGGUCUGCGCUCUUCGUCUCGCCGUUCACGGCGUUAAAUACUUCAAUUCCGGCAAACUGAUCUCCGGUUAGUUGAUUAUUUUUAAUUCUCUGUAAUUACGAUUGAUUAUGUUUUUUUUUGUUUUUUUUUUUAUUUUAUUUGAAUCAAAAUUUCUCAACGAAUAAUUUUUCAGAAAAAUCAACCUUCGAAAAAGGUCUCCAAAUUUUGGACGGAGCAUGCA
rnacentral:lncRNA from 1 species